UGGGGAAUAUUGCGCAAUGGGCGAAAGCCUGACGCAGCGACNGCCGCGUGGGGAUGACGGCCUUCGGUUGUAAACCUCUUUCAGCAGGGACGAAGCCGUGAGGUGACGGUACCUGCAGAAGAAGCACCGGCCAACUACGUGCCAGCAGCCGCGGUAAUACGUAGGGUGCAAGCGUUGUCCGGAAUUAUUGGGCGUAAAGAGCUCGUAGGCGGUUCGUCGCGUCGGCUGUGAAAACCUGAGCUCAACCUCAGGCCUGCAGUCGAUACGGGCGGACUUGAGUACUGCAGGGGAGACUGGAAUUCCUGGUGUAGCGGUGAAAUGCGCAGAUAUCAGGAGGAACACCGGUGGCGAAGGCGGGUCUCUGGGCAGUAACUGACGCUGAGGAGCGAAAGCGUGGGGAGCGAACAGGAUUAGAUACCC
rnacentral:rRNA from 1 species